GUCGAACGGAAUGAACUUAAGCUUGCUUAUACUUCAUUUAGUGGCGGACAGGUGAGUAACGCGUGGGUAACCUGCCAUGUACAGGGGGACAACAGUUGGAAACGACUGCUAAUACCGCAUAAGCGCACAGCUUCGCAUGAAGCAGUGUGAAAAACUCCGGUGGUACAUGAUGGACCCGCGUCUGAUUAGAUAGUUGGUGAGGUAACGGCUCACCAAGUCGACGAUCAGUAGCCGGCCUGAGAGGGUGAACGGCCACAUUGGGACUGAGACACGGCCCAAACUCCUACGGGAGGCAGCAGUGGGGAAUAUUGGACAAUGAGGGAAACCCUGAUCCAGCGACGCCGCGUGAGUGAAGAAGUAUUUCGGUAUGUAAAGCUCUAUCAGCAGGGAAGAUAAUGACGGUACCUGACUAAGAAGCACCGGCUAAAUACGUGCCAGCAGCCGCGGUAAUACGUAUGGUGCAAGCGUUAUCCGGAUUUACUGGGUGUAAAGGGAGCGUAGACGGCAUGGCAAGUCUGAUGUGAAAGCCCGGGGCUCAACCCCGGGACUGCAUUGGAAACUGCUAAGCUAGAGUGCAGGAGAGGUAAGUGGAAUUCCUAGUGUAGCGGUGAAGUGCG
rnacentral:rRNA from 1 species